rnacentral:rRNA from 1 species
UCGAUAGGGGCCGUGAGAGCGGUUGCCCCGAGAUGGGUACUGAGACAGCGACCCAGGCCUUACGAGGCGCAGCAGGCGCGAGACCUCCGCAAUACACGCAAGUGUGACGGGGUUACCCAAAGUGUCCUUAUUGGACUGUGGCGGGUGAGUAAUGUUCCCCGCUAGAAAGGAGAGGGCAAGGCUGGUGCCAGCCGCCGCGGUAAAACCAGCUCUUCAAGUGGUCGGGAUAAUUUAUUGGGCUUAAAGUGUCCGUAGCCGGUUUAGUAAGUUCCUGGUAAAACCGGGCAGCUUAACUGUCCGUAUGCUAGGAAUACUGCUAUGCUAGAGGGCGGGAGAGGUCUGAGGUACUACAGGGGUACGGGUUAACUCUUAUAAUCCUUGUAGGACCCCAGUGGCGAAAGCGUCAGACUGGACGCGCCUGACGGUGAGGGACGAAAGCCAAGGGGAGCGAACCGGAUUAGAUACCCGGGUAGUCCUGGCCGUAAACGAUGCAUACUAGGCAAUGGUGCGGCCAUGAGCCGCAUCAGUACCGUAGGGAAACCGGUAAGUGUGCCGCCUGGGAAGUACGGUCGCAAGGCUAAAACUUAAAGGAAUUGGCGGGGGAGCACCACAAGGGGUGAAGCCUGCGGUUCAAUUGGACUCAACGCCGGGAAACUUACCAGGGGAGACAGCAGAAUGACAGUCAGGUUGACGACCUUACUCGACGAGCUGAGAGGAGGUGCAUGGCCGUCGCCAGUUCGUGCUGUGAGGUAUCCUGUUAAGUCAGGCAACGAACGAGAUCCGCGCCUUUAUUUGCCAUCAAGAAGUCACGACUUUAUUGGGCACAACUAAUAGGGACCGCCGUCGAUAAGACGGAGGAAGGAGCGGGCAAAGGCAGGUCAGUAUGCCCCGAAACCCCUGGGCUACACGCGGGCUGCAAUGGUGCGAACAAUGGGCUGUAACUCCGAAAGGAGAAACCAAUCCCGAAAUCGCAUCUCAGUGGGGAUUGUCGACUGUAACUCGUUGACAUGAACGU